CAUAUUGUCUUCUUGUAGGGAAGGUAGGGUCUGCACUACUGUGAUUCCAUCACCAACCUUUUGCUUCAAUAAGGAAACAUGGAAAACAUGGUGUAUUGUAGCUGAAUCAGGAAGCUGAAGCUUGUAGGCCACUUUCCCAAUUCUAGCAACAAUCUGGAAGGGUCCAUAGUAUCUUGCAGCCAACUUGAAAUUCUUCCUCAUAGCUACUAAAAUUUGUGUAUAGGGUUGGAGUUUGAGAUACACCCAAUCCCCCACAUUAAAUUCCCUGUCAGUCCUCUUCUUGUCUACAUACUGUUUCAUCCGGUUCUGAGCCACUAACAAGUUUUCCUUGAUCAACUGAGACAUCUGCUGUCUUUCCUUCACAAAAUCAGAUACAGCUCCUACUGAAGUAGAAUCAAUUGGCAAAAGAGUCAAAGGAGCAGGCUUAUACCCAUAUAAAGCUUCAAAUAGAGCCAUCUUUAAGGCACUGUGGUGACUAGUAUUAUACCACCAUUCUGCUAAUGACGACCAUUGCUCCCAAGAAUGGGGUUUUUGGAAGCAUAAACACCUCAAGUAGCCUUCCAAACAUUGAUUCAAUCUUUCUGAUUGACCAUCAAAUUGGGGGUGAUAAGCUGUACUAAAGGCUAGCUGAAUACCCAUCAUCUUAAAAAGUUCUUUCCAAAAGAGACUAGUAAACAACUUGUCUCUAUCUGAAAUCACAAGCACAGGGCAUCCAUGCAACUUAAAAAUGUUGUCUAGAAAGACUUUGGCAACAUCUUUUGCUGAAAAGGGGUGCUACAAGGCAAUGAAAUGAGCAUAUUUGGUGAAUUUACAAAUCACCACCAAAAUAGUAUCCUUUCCCUUGGAUUUUGGCAAAUGUUCUAUAAAAUCCAUAGUGACAUGCUGCCAAGCUUGAGAUGGAAUAGGAAGACGCUAUAAGAGUCCAGGAGAAGCACAAGUCUCACUUUUACAUCUUGCACAAAUGUCACAGCUUUUAAUCCAAGUCAAUACCCCUUUCAACAUAUUAGGCCAGUAGAAAUGUCUACUGAGUCUGACAUAGGUGGCAUUAAUGCCAGAAUGGCCUCCCGAUUGAGAGUGUGAUAAAGUGUCAGUAAUUGGUUCCUAAGAUU
rnacentral:misc_RNA from 1 species